AUUGAACGCUGGCGGCAGGCUUAACACAUGCAAGUCGAGCGAGCGGCGGACGGGUGAGUAAUGUCUGGGGACCUGCCUGAUGGAGGGGGAUAACUACUGGAAACGGUAGCUACUACCGCAUACUAUCAGAUGUGCCCAUAUGGGAUUAGCUAGUAGGUGGGGUAAAGGCUCACCUAGGCGACGAUCCCUCGCUGGUCUGAGAGGAUGAUCAGCCACACUGGGACUGAGACACGGCCCAGAGUCCUACGGGAGGCAGCAGUGGGGAAUAUUGCACAAUGGGCGCAAGCCUGAUGCAGCCAUGCCGCGUGUAUGAAGAAGGCCUUAGGGUUGUAAAGUACUUUCAGCGGGGAGGCGUUACCCGCAGAAGAAGCACCGGCUAACUCCGUGCCAGCAGCCGCGGUAAUAC
rnacentral:rRNA from 1 species